rnacentral:lncRNA from 1 species
GAAAUUGGGGGAAAAAACAAAAAAAAAAAAUACACACAUAUAUAUAUAGAUAUAUAUAUAUAUAUAUAUAUUUAAACGGGAGAAUCACACUGUGUAAGACAGAUGUAACACUACUGGAUUCUGUCGUCUGAUUGAAUGUAAAGUCAGUUUCCAAAACUUUUCACUUUUUCCGAUGGAAAUUUUUACCGUUGCCAAGGUGUAUCAACUCCAUCGAUAAUAAAUCUAUGGUAGACACACGAAGACUUGGUCUGUUUCAUUCCAUCACUAAAAGUCACCGCCCACGCGUGUGCAUCGAUACAGCGUAUAUCGAGGGGGCGGAACCGCGUUGCAAUCCUCCCACCGACAGAAACCACACCCCCCGUUCGAAUCCGACCAACGAAGACUAUCACUAUCAACCAAUCAAAACGCGAGGGCGGUCGAUCCGCAUCCUUCCGGUCAGUAGUGUUACGGAAAAAGUUCAGUCGAGGAAGGACCGUGCCAUUAGCAAACGACCAGCAAAAUAAUAUUACAAAAUGUAGCAAAAGUAAUUUUAACAAUUACUCAGGAGGCGUUUUGGAUUACCAGUAUUUGUAAUCAGCAGAUAUACAGAUAUACGUAACGAAACUCGUGUUAGACGGAAUGACAUCCGGAUCGAGAUAAAUUUGUUGAAAUAAUCGGACUCACUAAAAACUCUACUGAUCUGACCAUGGAUGAUGGAAACUCGUUGAAAAUAGCAAUGGAAUGAAGAUGUGAUGUUUCCGUCAAUAAUAAAGAUCACUCACGAGAAAGACUUAUUUAUUA